AGUGAACGCUGGCGGCGUGCUUAACACAUGCAAGUCGAACGAGAACGGAUUAUAGCUUGCUAUAAUUGUCAGCUAAGUGGCGCACGGGUGAGUAAUGUAUAGGUAAUAUGCCUCUUACUAAGGGAUAACAAAUGGAAACGUUUGCUAAUACCUUAUACUCCUUAUUAACAGAAGUUAAUAAGGGAAAGAUUUAUUGGUAAGAGAUUAGCCUGUAUUGUAUCAGUUAGUUGGUGGGGUAAUGGCUUACCAAGACUAUGACACAUAACUGGUUUGAGAGGAUGAUCAGUCACACUGGAACUGAGACACGGUCCAGACUCCUACGGGAGGCAGCAGUGGGGAAUAUUGCACAAUGGACGAAAGUCUGAUGCAGCAACGCCGCGUGGAGGAUGACACAUUUCGGUGCGUAAACUCCUUUUAUAUGAGAAGAUAAUGACGGUAUUAUAUGAAUAAGCACCGGCUAACUCCGUGCCAGCAGCCGC
rnacentral:rRNA from 1 species